GGCCUGGUGGUGUACUGGCAACACAUCCUCUUUAUUUACGUCAGACGCAGGAGUCCUUGGAGGAAGAACCCUGUUCAAUUCAGGGCCAGGCCA